GGACCCGUGGAGCAGCGGAACGCUCACCAGGCCCUCAACCUGGAGACGCCGGUUCGAUCCCGGUCGGGUCUA
rnacentral:tRNA from 1 species